GGAGAGGUGCCAGAGCGGCCGAAUGGGCCUGACUCGAAAUCAGGUGUACGCGCGAGCGUACCGUGGGUUCGAAUCCCACCCUCUCCGCCA
rnacentral:tRNA from 3 species